GAAUUGAACUUAAAAUAAAGAAGCUUCUAAAGCUUGAGAAAAUCGAUGGCUACGAAAUGUGUUAGAAAACUUAUGUUGGUGAUGAUGAUGAAAUUGCUUAUCCUUAUUCUUCUUGGUGUGCAAGCCAAUGAUCUUGCCCCUACCUCAUUAUCUCCAUCUUCAUCUCUCAUUAUGUCUCCUUAUUCCUUUGAACUUGAUAAUCAUGGAGAAAUACACUUGUGCCUUACACUUGGAAUUUGUCAUUGUUCAAAUUUAAAAACCACAUGGCCUCACCCCGACGCUACAUAUGAAGCUUGCAUUUUUGCUACUUUUUUACGCUGCUUCAAAGGUAUCAAGAAUUCUGAAGACCCAAUUAUGUUUCCUAUAAUUUUUAAUUGUGCCAAAACCAAGUGCGAACGAUUUCUGAAAAUUGAAGACAUUCUUCUUAUAAGCGCCCAGCUUGUGCGUUGUUUGUUGAAAUGUUUUUAUAAGCAUGUUGCGAGCCCCUCAGAUGUCAUUUACCUGCAGAAUCCUUGAGUUCCAACUUUUGAUAUGACUAUUUGCAAAAUUGAAGUUGGGGACUUCAUCUGAGAAGAACAACCAUGAUGCAAGAAUUGAAAAUGAAGGCGAAAAUCCUUUCGCUAGUAUUAAUAGUUGAACCGUCUGCAGGAGCUUAAUGCUUGACUUUGGGAGAGCAAGUCUUAUCGUUAUGUUUGUUUCUCUGUGUUUGUUUUUAUAGUGUAUUAUUGACAAUGUUUAAUUCCAUGUGAAUUUAGUGUUGCUUGUGGCACAUAUAUUUGGCACACCUAGUGCGCACAUGGUAUAUAUAAUAAACCAUACUCUAACUUAUCUUUAUCA